rnacentral:rRNA from 1 species
AACCUGCAUCAAGCCUGAGCCAUCCAUACCGCGUGUGUGAAGAAGGCCCUAGGGUUGUAAAGCACUUUAAGUUGGGAAGUAAAAGUUAUUGGUUAAUACCCAAUGACCGUGACAUUACUCAUCAGAAUAAGGACCGGCUAAUUCCGUGCCAGCAGCCGCGGAAAUACGGAAGGUCCAAGCGUUAAUCGGAAUUACUGGGCGUAAAGCGCGCGUAGGUGGUUUAUUAAGUUGGGUGUGAAAUCCCCGGGCUCAACCUGGGAACUGCAUCCAAAACUGAUUCACUAGAGUACGAUAGAGGGAGGUAGAAUUCACAGUGUAGCGGUGGAAUGCGUAGAUAUUGUGAAGAAUACCAAUGGCGAAGGCAGCCUCCUGGAUCUGUACUGACACUGAGGUGCGAAAGCGUGGGUAGCGAACAGGAUUAGAUACCCUGGUAGUCCACGCCGUAAACGAUGUCAACUAUCUGUUGGAAAGCAUUGCUUUUUAGUGGAGCAGCUAACGUAAUAAGUUGACCCGCCUGGGGAGUACGGCCGCAAGGCUAAAACUCAAAUGAAUUGACGGGGACCCGCACAAGCGGU